UACGAAGGGUGCAAGCGUUACUCGGAAUUACUGGGCGUAAAGCGUGCGUAGGUGGUUGUUUAAGUCUGUUGUGAAAGCCCUGGGCUCAACCUGGGAACUGCAGUGGAAACUGGACAACUAGAGUGUGGUAGAGGGUAGCGGAAUUCCCGGUGUAGCAGUGAAAUGCGUAGAGAUCAGGAGGAACAUCCAUGGCGAAGGCAGCUACCUGGACCAACACUGACACUGAGGCACGAAAGCGUGGGGAGCAAACAGG
rnacentral:rRNA from 1 species